GUGACACAGAAUAUCAGUGCUGUCUCCAACACGCUUUGUGGAACAUGCCUGUAGUUGUGUACUAACUGGUGUAUGUGCUUAGCACUGCCCCUGCUGGAUGGAAUGUUAGACUGUGGGUUCUUCUGAAAGCCCACAGGAUAAAAACCAUAUUACUAGCAGCUAUUGGAGAUUCUCCUUAGAGAAGGCAUAGAGGCCUGUGAAUUUUGGGACUCUGGGUCCUGGUUUGUAUCUCUCUUUGUCCAACCAGGUGAAAACAGACACAGAAAUCCAAGUGUCAGAGCUCCUCUUUCUUGCUGCACUAAUGUAGUGGUUCUCAGUCUGACUCUGGUCCCUGAUAGACCACCUGAGAAAGCAGGAAAUGUGCUUGGGAGGUGGUAAAGACUUGGUAUUGGGAGAGCAAUGAGGAGGCUGAAAGAGAAGGUGUGGAAUGGGAGACCAGAUCCAGGACCCAGUAUGACUGGGCAUGUUGACCCUGAAGAUAGUGUUGGUCACCACUGUUUGCUUUUCAAAGCUGAGUUCAACAAACACACUUCACUAACUGUAAAAGCCUGAAUUCAUGCAUCUGUGUGGAUGAAGGAUGGGAUAAACAGCCAUAAGGAGAGAGAGGCGUCUGCUGAGAAAGUGGGGGUCAAAGAUAGAGAAGUUCAGCAGGAGAGCGAUUCUGGAUAAAGACUAAAUUGAGAGAGUUGCUGUGUCAGUGGGUAGGAGUUGCCUUGCUGCGGGAGACCUUAAGAGAUGCUAGAGGAGACAAGCUGUUUUUGAUUGGGGUGCCUCCUCAAAACAGAGUCAUCAAUGUUAAGGAGGGUGGGGGAUGAUAGUGUCCCUGCUCCGUACUGUGUAUUAAGCACAUUGUAAAUAGUUUGUAAAACACUUUGAGACCUUUGGAUUAAAGACAGUCUAUAAAUAUGUCUUCAUCUUGGACUGUUACAGAGUAAACUGGUUAACCGGGAAAGGUCACCAGGCUGCAUGUCUUCAGUUGUAAUCUAUAUACUGAUUCCAUCUCAUCAAGAAUACAGAGUGUGCAGGAACUGGCUGAUAUAAAUCCACAUGCUCUGGGGAGUUGCAGAAACUGUGUUUCAGAGUUGCCACAACAGGUCCCAGAGUUGUUACCCAUAGGUGAGCGUCAGAGCUUCUACCAGGACUGCAGUUAGAUAUAUUCUAGCUAACACUCAAUGAUCUUUCCCCAAAAUGUCUAAGUCUAUUAGAAACAUCUCAGAGUAUCCUGGACCCCACUGGCCUUCCCUUUCUUAUUCUGAAACUUCCUGAAAUGCAGAGUGGGGAUGGAAGCAGGCAGAGGAUGAAUCUGCUUGUGGGAUGGAGAUCUAGCAUCCUCUGUCAUCCUUGACCUUUAAGCAGUUCCACUCCAGAGACAGCCAGCCAGAACACUGGUGCUUAGCAGCCUAAGCCCUCAGCCAGGCCUGCAGGAGCUGACAUAAUGUGCUUCACCUUUUCACUGUGUCUGUUCAGGGCCUCAGGAGGAUGAGUCAACACAAACUGGCUCUGACCUUCCUGUGACUCAGUUCCAUAUCUGCCUGUAUUUAGGGACAUUAAAAAUGAGUCUUUAUGGCAUUAGCCUGGAAUUUGGAAAGGUGAAUAGGGGAGGCUGAAGUCUCUCUUAUCUCCCCAACUUCAUUCCUGGGGGGAUUUCAAGAAAAGCUCAUCUCCAAACAGACUCAUCUGGUUCUGAGUGUGGUGUUACCAACUGCAUUCAUGAUCUAACCUGUCAUAGCUGACUUCAAGAUCUGUGACUUGAUCCCUGGUAUAUAAAUUACUUUUCAUCUUCAAGAGUCUUUACAGAAAGUACCUAAUUACUCCUCAGGCCAUCCUUGUUUAGGAGGUAUAGGGUUGGAUUGGAUUUGUAUUAGGAAGAGCUGUGUGAAUAAACUGCAAUGAACAAUUUACA
ensembl:lncRNA